GACGAACGCUGGCGGCGUGCCUAAUACAUGCAAGUCGAACGCACUGGGGACGGGUGAGUAACACGUGGCUAACCUCCCAUCAGAGGGGAUAAAACUUGGCAACAGGUGCUAAACCGACACUGAUGGAUGGACCCGCGGUGCAUUAGCUAGUUGGUGAGGUAACGGCUCACCAAGGCGACGAUGCAUAGCCGACCUGAGAGGGUGAUCGGCCACACUGGGACUGAGACACGGCCCAGACUCCUACGGGAGGCAGCAGUAGGGAAUCUUCGGCAAUGGACGAAAGUCUGAACAAGCAACGCCGCGUGAGUGAAGAAGGUUUUCGGAUCGUAAAACUCUGUUGUUAGAGAAGCGGUAUCUAACCAGAAAGCCACGGCUAACUACGUGCCAGCAGCCGCGGUAAUUC
rnacentral:rRNA from 1 species